rnacentral:sRNA from 1 species
GCCAGGCAUGGAGGUGUGUGUGCCUGUAAUUUCAGCUGCUCAGAGGCUGAGGCAGGAGGAUUGUGAGUUUUAGGCCGGCCUGGGAAACCUAGCAAGACUCUUGUCUUAA